rnacentral:rRNA from 1 species
AUACGGAGGGGGCUAGCGUUGUUCGGAAUUACUGGGCGUAAAGCGCGCGUAGGCGGCUUUGUAAGUCGGAUGUGAAAGCCCGGGGCCCAACCCCGGAAUUGCAUUCGAAACCGCCAAGCUAGAGUCCUGGAGAGGAAGGCGGAAUUCCCGGUGUAGAGGUGAAAUUCGUAGAUAUCGGGAGGAACACCAGCGGCGAAGGCGGCCUUCUGGACAGUGACUGACGCUGAGACGCGAAAGCGUGGGGAGCAAACAGGAUUAGAAACCCCGGUAGUCC